rnacentral:rRNA from 1 species
GACGAACGCUGGCGGCGUGCUUAACACAUGCAAGUCGAACGGACGAGUGAGAUAAGUUUACUUAACUCACAGGUUAGUGGCGGACGGGUGAGUAACACGUGGAUAAUCUACCUGCAACACCGGGAUAACGCUGUGAAAACGGUGCUAAUACCGGAUACGUUCCCUUGUGCGCAUGUAUGAGGGAAGAAAGCUCAGGCGGUUGCAGAUGAGUCCGCGGCUGAUUAGCUAGUUGGUGAGGUAAAGGCUCACCAAGGCGAUGAUCAGUAGCCGGCCUGAGAGGGUGAACGGCCACACUGGGACUGAGACACGGCCCAGACUCCUACGGGAGGCAGCAGUGGGGAAUCUUCCGCAAUGGGCGCAAGCCUGACGGAGCAACGCCGCGUGGGUGAAGAAGGCCUCGGUUGUAAGACCUGUCUUAUGGAGAAGUCAGUGACGGUACCAUAGGAGGAAGCCACGGCGUAACUACGUGCCAGCAGCCGCGGUAACUAGUACU